rnacentral:rRNA from 1 species
CGNCGCACAGCGNGAUCCCGGUUAAUCCCCGUUCACACACACAGNGUGGUGCCCCAGAGAAUCCAGGAAGGCGAAAAAGGGAAAUUGGNAACAUGGACCUUGAAGUUAGGCCUCCUAUUUCCUAUGAAUUUUCUCUUAGUGGAUUGCGUAUGCUCGCCAAUGGGACCCGAUUGCUGUAAGNUUGGGAUGAGAGAUGACUUGUGCUCUUGGCUUAACUAUACCGAUUAAACGAAGCGAUGAACCGUUAACCCUGGCUAAAGUACGGGUANCCGAGAACCAAGCAUUUUGCGUGUCUCUGUGAUUCGCCUUCUAUAGAGCGGACUAUUGCGCGCUUAUAAAUCGACAAGGAAGUUUAUAGGCUAAUAAGCAGGUGCUGUGAUGGCCCUUCAGAUGGUCCUGGGCUGCACGCGCGCUACACUGAUGCGUUCAUCGAGUUUAUCCUUGGCCGAGAGGCCUGGGUAAUCUUUAGUACGCAUCGUGAUGGGGAUCGAUUAUUGCAAUUAUUAAUCGUGAACGAGGAAUGCCUAGUAUGCGCAAGUCAUCAGCUUGUGCAGAUUACGUCCCUGCCCUUGGGUCAAAGGGGNCCGAGACCCAGAUCACGAUACACCUAACACGGAAUUACGGAUGUUGNAA